rnacentral:snRNA from 1 species
AUACUUACCUGACGAGGACCAUACUGGGAUCAGGCAGCCAGUGGGUCCAGGGCGAGGCUUUGCCAUUGCACAUCGGCUUAGCUGACCCUGCGAUUACCCCAAAUGUGGGUAAGAAUG